GAAAAUAUAAACAGAAAGCUGGAGAAACGAAAGAGAGAUGACAGAAACAGGCUUUGUAGAUUUGACAACAGCUUCAUUGGGGAUGAAGGUGAGAGAGAAGUUGUUCAGAAUGAAGUAUUGGGGCUUAUACGAAAGAAGCUAACCAUUCUCACACCGCAUGGAGAACUACCCACAGCUCUUGCUGCAGCAGUUUAUACAAGAGUGGAUGAAGUCCAUGCGGGAGAAUUCUUGGGGAUCAGUCAGCAUCUCUUACCAGAAUAUAUGCAAGAUAAGCGAUGCUUCGUUUUGGUUAGCCAAGGAGCUGAGAUAAUACGGUUGAAAAAAGACAGGUUUGAG
rnacentral:lncRNA from 1 species